rnacentral:rRNA from 1 species
UACGUAGGCAGCAAGCGUUGUUCGGAGUUACUGGGCGUAAAGAGUGUGUAGGCGGUUUUCUAAGUUUGGUGUGAAAUCUCCCGGCUUAACUGGGAGGGUGCGCCGAAGACUGGAAGGCUUGAGUAUGGGAGAGGAAAGCGGAAUUCCUGGUGUAGCGGUGAAAUGCGCAGAUAUCAGGAGGAACACCGGUGGCGAAGGCGGGUCUCUGGGCCGACACUGACGCUGAGGAGCGAAAGCGUGGGGAGCGAACAGG